rnacentral:rRNA from 1 species
UGGGGAAUAUUGCACAAUGGGCGGAAGCCUGAUGCAGCAACGCCGCGUGAGGGAUGACGGCCUUCGGGUUGUAAACCUCUUUUAGCAAGGAAGAAGCGAAAGUGACGGUACUUGCAGAAAAAGCGCCGGCUAACUACGUGCCAGCAGCCGCGGUAAUACGUAGGGCGCAAGCGUUAUCCGGAAUUAUUGGGCGUAAAGAGCUCGUAGGCGGUCUGUCGCGUCUGCUGUGAAAACCCGAGGCUCAACCUCGGGCCUGCAGUGGGUACGGGCAGACUAGAGUGCGGUAGGGGAGAAUGGAAUUCCUGGUGUAGCGGUGGAAUGCGCAGAUAUCAGGAGGAACACCGAUGGCGAAGGCAGUUCUCUGGGCCGUAACUGACGCUGAGGAGCGAAAGCGUGGGGAGCGAACA